rnacentral:rRNA from 1 species
CUAUACAGUGAAACUGCGAAUGGCUCAUUAAAUCAGUUAUCGUUUAUUUGAUAGUACCUUACUACUUGGAUAACCGUGGUAAUUCUAGAGCUAAUACAUGCUAAAAAUCCCGACCUCUGGAAGGGAUGUAUUUAUUAGAUAAAAAACCAAUGCCUUGGGCUCUUUGGUGAUUCAUGAUAACUUAACGAAUCGCAUGGCCUUGCGCCGGCGAUGGUUCAUUCAAAUUUCUGCCCUAUCAACUUUCGAUGGUAGGAUAGUGGCCUACCAUGGUUUCAACGGGUAACGGGGAAUUAGGGUUCUAUUCCGGAGAGGGAGCCUGAGAAACGGCUACCACAUCCAAGGAAGGCAGCAGGCGCGCAAAUUACCCAAUCCCAAUUCGGGGAGGUAGUGACAAUAAAUACUGAUACAGGGCUCUUUCGGGUCUUGUAAUUGGAAUGAGUACAAUUUAAAUCCCUUAACGAGGAACAAUUGGAGGGCAAGUCUG